UACCAGACUCCUACGGGAGGCAGCAGUCGAGAAUCAUUCACAAUGGGGGAAACCCUGAUGGUGCGACGCCGCGUGGGGGAAUGAAGGUCUUCGGAUUGUAAACCCCUGUCAUGUGGGAGCAAAUUAAAAAGAUAGUACCACAAGAGGAAGAGACGGCUAACUCUGUGCCAGCAGCCGCGGUAAUACAGAGGUCUCAAGCGUUGUUCGGAAUCACUGGGCGUAAAGCGUGCGUAGGCUGUUUCGUAAGUCGUGUGUGAAAGGCGCGGGCUCAACCCGCGGACGGCACAUGAUACUGCGAGACUAGAGUAAUGGAGGGGGAACCGGAAUUCUCGGUGUAGCAGUGAAAUGCGUAGAUAUCGAGAGGAACACUCGUGGCGAAGGCAGCAUACCGGCGCUCAACUGACGCUCAUGCACGAAAGUGUGGGUAUCGAACAGGAUUAGAUACCCCAGUA
rnacentral:rRNA from 1 species